UUCAAUUUGGCUUUGCUGAGAUGAUUAGGAUUGUCUAGUACGUAUGAAGAAGAUGAUGAUUGUUUCCCACACACCCAAAUCAUAUUUUUGUAAUUAACCCUAAUAUUUUAACUGUAAAUUAUCGAGGGUAAUUGGAUUACUUCUUAUCACUUGCAGUGGGUUAUUAAUCGAGUAUUAGGUAAUUAGGAAUAUGAAUUUGGAGAGAGGGGCGAGAGAAUAGGAAGAAAAAGAGUUUGUGUCAAAGGUGAGAUCUUUAUAGUAAAUCCUCUGUACAAGAAGUAUGUUAUGAAACAUAUAGGAUUAUCUUAUAAAUAUGGUAUGCCUAUUCUUUCCAUUUAAGAGAACUGGGUCUCACCUUUCUUUAGACGUAUGAUUGAUAUUAUAGUUUUACUUGGUUUAUAAUGAUUGGAAUGAAAGUUGAGAAAAAGGAAUUAGGUGUAAGCAGAUAUUAAUUCUCGUAUGUAGAUACAUAUAUAGAUUAAUUCUGCUUUAACUUGGAAUAAGAAUCGAAAAAUGAGGGGAAGUUGCACGAUGAAGAUAUGAGCAGAUUCUUUCAAAGUGUAGUGAACUUGGCUGACCAAUAUUAUAUCCUCCAAAUAUUUGAAAAUAAUUAAACUCUCCAUUCAAGUAAAAGUUUGAUAGGUGUGUAUGAAGUAGUGAUAUGUUACAGCAUAAUAGACAGCGAAAGCAAGAAAAGAAAUAUCACAAAUAGAGUUGCUUAGAACAACAUCAUAUUAAAAUCACACAGAGAUUGAAGAAAAGGGGAUAGAGUACAACACAACUCACAUCAAAUGAUUAUCUUCUUCUUUCUCCACUUAAAUCACUUAGUUUUUUUUUUAUAUUUUAAAUUGGAAUAAAUCUUAAUACAUACUUUUUAGUUUUCUUUCCAGAUUUCUUAUAACUAGGCCUAACGAUGCAAAUAUUAGUCUAGACAUAGCAAAAUACACUAAAGUAAGUUGUAGCGCAACACCCAUAAUUAAUUUAUGAAGGUAUUCCAUCCACAUACGACAAGAUGAAGAGAAUGGCCAUUUCUGAUGCACUUAAUAUUAGUUUACACAUAGUAUUAUUUUUUUAUACGGAUAUACUACCCUGCUCUUGUAUAGGAUAUUGAGGCUCGAGACAGGACAUACAUACUGCUUUGGGCAAGCUUUCAUCAAAGGUUGGAUAGAACCAUUAUGAUAGAAUCAUAGUCAUAUUUUAUGGUGGUCAAAGUCUUCGCUCAUGGCAGAUUACAUUAUGAUCCAGAGUUGGAGAAUCUUUCUAUGUCGCUUAUUGUAUAUAGCUACUUGAUAAAAUAACUUGUUAGAUGCAAAAUGACACUAGGUAUUAGAUUUAAAUAGGUUAGCAUUUUGUUAUGCUGUUGACACUUCCAAUUUAUGGAUUAGUAAUUUCGGUUGUUGCGGAUUAGUGAAGUGAAUUAAGAUCAUUGAAGAGAAUAUUCGUUUUAAGGUUAAUAAGAAUACCAGGCAUUAACUAA